rnacentral:rRNA from 1 species
UUGUCUCAAAGAUUAAGCCAUGCAUGUCUCAGUACGAGCCGCAUUAAGGUGAAACCGCGAAAGGCUCAUUAAAUCAGUUAUGGUUCCUUAGAUCGUACCCACAUUUACUUGGAUAACUGUGGUAAUUCUAGAGCUAAUACAUGCAGAUAGAGCUCCGACCGGAGACGGAAGGAGUGCUUUUAUUAGAACAAAACCAAUCGGCGGCGGGCGCGUUCGCGCGUUCGUUCGCCGCUCUACCUGGUGAAUCUGAAUAACUUUCAGCUGAUCGCACGGUCUCGCACCGGCGACGCAUCUUUCAAAUGUCUGCCUUAUCAACUGUCGAUGGUAGGUUCUGCGCCUACCAUGGUCGUAACGGGUAACGGGGAAUCAGGGUUCGAUUCCGGAGAGGGAGCCUGAGAAACGGCUACCACAUCCAAGGAAGGCAGCAGGCGCGCAAAUUACCCACUCCCGGCACGGGGAGGUAGUGACGAAAAAUAACGAUACGGGACUCAUCCGAGGCCCCGUAAUCGGAAUGAGUACACUUUAAAUCCUUUAACGAGGACCCAUUGGAGGGCAAGUCUGGUGCCAGCAGCCGCGGUAAUUCCAGCUCCAAUAGCGUA